rnacentral:rRNA from 1 species
GAACGCUGGCGGCGUGCCUAAUACAUGCAAGUCGAGCGGACAGAUGGGAGCUUGCUCCCUGAUGUUAGCGGCGGACGGGUGAGUAACACGUGGGUAACCUGCCUGUAAGACUGGGAUAACUCCGGGAAACCGGGGCUAAUACCGGAUGGUUGUUUGAACCGCAUGGUUCAGACAUAAAAGGUGGCUUCGGCUACCACUUACAGAUGGACCCGCGGCGCAUUAGCUAGUUGGUGAGGUAACGGCUCACCAAGGCGACGAUGCGUAGCCGACCUGAGAGGGUGAUCGGCCACACUGGGACUGAGACACGGCCCAGACUCCUACGGGAGGCAGCAGUAGGGAAUCUUCCGCAAUGGACGAAAGUCUGACGGAGCAACGCCGCGUGAGUGAUGAAGGUUUUCGGAUCGUAAAGCUCUGUUGUUAGGGAAGAACAAGUGCCGUUCAAAUAGGGCGGCACCUUGACGGUACCUAACCAGAAAGCCACGGCUAACUACGUGCCAGCA